CAAUAAAGGAAGAAAGUUCAAGCCACACGAAGCAAGAAGGAAAUCACGACCGAGGUAAAACUCAAGUUUAGGUGGUUAUGCUUCGCUUGGAUCGAACACACUUUGAACGCCGUUCAUGCGCUUCCGCAAAUUUUGUAUAACAUGUAAAAGGAUCAAAACACUUUUGUUAAAUGGUUUAUGUUUAGCAGUUGAAUCUUAAACUUAAACAUGUUUUGUUAUUUUGUAAAUUCUAGAAUGUAGUAUAACUUUAUUAUAAUUACGGUUAUGUUAUGUUUUA